CAUCAUUGUCAAAUAUCACACCAGCAGCAGCCGGAACAUCAUCACCUGUGACAGAAAAUAAUAACAAAUCUCACAGCAGCAACAACAGCCGGACCAUCAACACCUCUGACAGAAACAGCUCGACACAUAGAAGUGACAGG